rnacentral:rRNA from 1 species
AGCCCGAGUAAACGGCGGCCGUAACUAUAACGGUCCUAAGGUAGCGAAAUUCCUUGUCGGUUAAAUACCGACCUGCAUGAAUGGCGUAACGAGAUGGGAGCUGUCUCAACCAGAGAUUCAGUGAAAUUGUAGUGGAGGUGAAAAUUCCUCCUACCCGCGGCAAGACGGAAAGACCCC